CAGUGGCUUCCAGUCUGAUCGGAUCGGCUUUUACACGACGUCUCUGAUGAUUGAUCAGGUUUCCAGAGCAGUGGUGUCGGUUCAGCACCUGGUUCAUUAAUGUUGGAAAAACAAAGUCUGAUCACCGACACAAACCGUGGAGGACGUCUGAUUUUCACUGACAGUGUUGGUUUCAUGUCUCCUCCCUCAGGACGUUCACCUGCAGAGAGUGAGGGUGGGCGUGGCGGCGGCGGACACUGUGACCUCAGCCUGUGGUUUGGAUGUCCCCGCCCCCAGCUGAUGCUCCGCCUCCUUCGCAUCGAUCAGCUGAUUGAAGCACAGGUCAAAGGUCACGGCCACGCUGCCCCGACUGAGAACACAAAUGAAUAACAGCUGUCACCUCAUCAAUCAGAUUAUCAGCAGAACGUGUCAUCUCGUGUCAGCCUCUGAGCAAACAAUCAAUCGGUCGAUUGAUCAGUUAAUCAAUGGAAGAUCAAACAGCUGCUGCUGCUUAUUGGGAUGAAAAUGCUUAGUCAGCAGAUCAUUGAUCAGUGAUGGUGUGAUUGACCCUUUGAUCAGCUCUGUCACUGAGAUGGAACUGAUGAAUCAGUUGAUGAUUGAUCAGUUCUGAUGUAAUUUAUUAUUUUAUUGGUAUUGACGAUCAGACAUCGGACCUGAAGUGUGACACCUGACAGGACCUGUAGAGCCGGUGGAGCUCCGUGUGGCCGAACGCCUCGGACACCUGUUGGCCAAUCACAGGUCAGACAUGAUGUCAUGAAAUGUGAGGGAAGUGAUCGGGUCAGUAUCGAUCACAGAGACGAUGCUUCGAACGUCACGUUCACAUUAAAACACCGACACUGAGCCACUUCCCUGUAGUCUUUCAAAAUAAAAGCUGAAUCUGCCCAUUCUUUUUCAAAGUAAAAGCACGUGAUCUCACCAGCUGCUGGACGUCAAAGGCCAGAGACUUAAACUGCAGACUGCUGGAGUUCCUCAGCUCCUCAGAGAACACGGCUCCCUCUGUGAUCACCAUCCGCCCGCUCAGCACCGCAGACGCACCGCCACCUUGGCACCAAACAACCGUAUGAGCUCCUCCAUGUUUUACCAACGCAGCUGCACCCGUCUGAGGUUCUGCCAGACAGUUCACCUUCGUCCAAAAGUCUCUGCAGACCAGUGAUGGCUGUUUCAGUUUGAUGAAGGUAGCUCGCCCUUCCUCUCGUGUUCCUGCCAGCCUGAUUGUUUCCACCUGUUCCCCAUUACCUAGUGUCCAUAUAUUGUCUGCGUCUCUUUGUCCUGUGCCAGUUGGUCCUGUCUCGAUAGAACCAGCGUUUCCCUCGUCCUGUCAGGUCCUGUUUGGUUCUUCAGUCCAUUGUCUUGUUUUGUUGGUGCUUUGUUUGGUUUAUUUUAUAAUCUAGUCUUUUUCCUCGCUGACAGUGAUUUUGUGUUUUUGUAGUCUUUUAUUUUUGUUGCCUUUUUGCCAUGAGUGAUUUUUAUUUUUAAUAUAAAGACUCUUAUUUUGAACUCCUUGCUCAGUUGUGACACCAGAUGAUAACGAUCCGACCAAUCACUGAGCACUGCACAGGCCUUUAGGAUGAAGGUAGAACGUCUUCAAGAACCUCAGGCAGAUCCAGAUGCAUUAGUUUAGCACUUAGAAAUUCUGUGACCUGAAUGAUGAAGAGUCUUCACAGACAACAUUAGUAUUGAUUAAUGAUAUUCUGUUCUGAUCAGUUUAGUAAAAGCAGAUGUUCAGUUACCUUCAGGCUUCAGGCUGAUCCACGAAACUAUGAUCAGUCCAACACAACAGAUCAGAAGAAGAGAGGAAAUGAUGCUGAGGCGAAACUCCAGAGACGACAGACGCCGCGUCAUGUUUCCAGCUGCAGGG